rfam:Flavobacterium sp. FPG59 Contig_216, whole genome shotgun sequence.
CCCUAGCCCUGAUAGCAGUGGAAAUCCUUUUAGCGCCGCGGCGAAUAAAAGAUUGUAACAAAUAGCAGGAAAUAGC